UACGUAGGGGGCAAGCGUUGUCCGGAUUUAUUGGGCGUAAAGAGCGUGUAGGCGGCUAUGCAGGUCCGCUGUGAAAACUCGAGGCUCAACCUCGAGACGUCGGUGGAAACCGCAUGGCUAGAGUCCGGAAGAGGAGAGUGGAAUUCCCAGUGUAGCGGUGAAAUGCGUAGAUAUUGGGAGGAACACCAGUGGCGAAGGCGGCUCACUGGACCGGUACUGACGCUGAUGCGCGAAAGCGUGGGGAGCAAACAGG
rnacentral:rRNA from 1 species